rnacentral:rRNA from 1 species
AUGUAAUUUCUAUAGAGUUAAUGCAUCAGAUCCCAUUAGAGAUCCACAGUUGAGUGCACUUCAGCUAGAGUAGUACUGGGAUGGGUGACCUCUCGAUAAUUCCUAGUGUUUUACAUG